rnacentral:rRNA from 1 species
CCCAUGUUCACCCCGAGAGAGCAGAGGGAAGAGACGCCAAAGGGGUAUAGUGGGAGGGGCGGAGAGGGGGUGUCGGUCUCUGGUCUCUGGGCAAGGCAGGGCAGGGCAGGGCAAGGGAAGGAGAAGGCCGCUGGGGGAGGGAGCGGCCGUUGGGGGCGCCACCCGGGGGGUAACGACCGGGAGUUAACGCGGUCAUGGGGGCGGAGGUGGAGGUCGGGGGCGAGGGCGCAUGGAGCGCGCCCUUUUAUUGGCUGCCCUCCUUCCUUUCUCCCGGCGCGGCGCGGACGGCCGAAGCCAACCCGGCCCUCCCUGGGGGCGGCGGCGGGCGAGCAGGCCUCCCCUUACGCCCUGGGCACGGCGGCCCCUUAAGAGAUCUGCCCGGAGGCGUUGGCGCGGCGCGGGGCGGCCUCAGUACCACCUCCCUGCCUUGACAGAGGGACGUCUCCAGUCCUUACCCGAGCUCUGAGACUUCUUCUCCUCUGAACUCUCCUACGCAAACUCACGAGUCUAUCUGCGGCCACUGUUAGGACGGUACCGACGCUCCUCGCCGCCCCUAAGUGACGCCUGAGGACGUUUGACACCCCACUCUAACGUACGGUUGUUGCAACGACGCCCAAAUGGAUCGUGAUCGUCACGGGUCUUGUUAUUAGGUAAGCGUUUCGCGUUCCACCUGUUCAAGUUAUACAGAUUGGAUCUCACCUAUCUGUUGUAUGGUCUCACGGGACACAUAACAGGGUGGUUCCUCCUUAAGCUCCUAGGGUAACGCAUAUAUGUCUUUUAAAGGGGUCACCGAAGUUUUAUACCGUAAACGUUUUAACACCGAGGACAUUCGCGAAGACACGGACGACCACAGCACGACUACUUCCUUGUUGGACCAAAAUUCAAGUACUGAUCUCAAGUCGGCGAAGCAGAACGACUUACCCGACUUCUGCUGUGCCAGUGAAAAAAAUACUCACCUGCUUUCAUGUGAAAGUCUCUGAUGCUCUCUUACCGGUUGUUUCACAAGAGAUUCUUCAUAAGGUCACGAUCAACAGAGGGACGAUCCAUGCACCUCCUCCUUAAGACCGCACUUUAGAGAAGACCUUUCUACCUAAAACAACUUAUACGAACACUACAACUACCCUCACGGAAGAGAAGAAGAGGAGUGCUAGUCGAACCCUUUUCGUUGACCUUGGAGUUCUUAAAAAGUGCCGAGGGGUCAAGACACGACUCUGAAGACGUCUGCGGUUAAGGUCCUCACUGUCUAGGUUACGACAUAUAGCCAUACGAGAAAUCGUACAAACGUACCGUACAGCUUCUAGUGAUAAACAUGUCGUAUUUAAUAGUAGUAACACCCCGUAAAUUCUGUACCAUACCCUAUGGUCCGCUACGACGAGGACCAAAACUUUUCCACCGUUCGGUCAUACACAUGUUGUUCCUAUAAAACUGACCACUACCUCUCCUACGCCGAAAACUACAAGACAAUCCCUUCUGUUGUUACAAGGGGGGUUUAUAGAACAAUCUGGUGUUACAAGGACAAAUAUUUCGACACGUCUUCGGACCUCUCAAACAAUAUUGUAAGGGAGCAAGUAUGGUAAGUCCAAAGUCGGUGCCAAAGUUAACACCUCUCCGACAGUUAAAACGAUAACCGCUGACCAAAGGAGACCCGAGAGACCGAUCGUUUGCGAUACGUGAAGACUUGUCUUGUGGGAAAGAACGUGUGCUCCUCGAUGAAACAGCAAGACGUUACGAAGACAGAGUGUUUGACUCACUAGGUCUUUGUUAAUUAAGACUUGUAGGUAUGUGAGUUAUAACACACUUCAGAAGGAAACACUCCAACUACGCUGACGUCGCCGCGUGUGCGUCGAAUGAGCGAUUUUACCCAAGAGUCUAUAUGAUGUUCGGUUUUUACAUAAGCUUGGAUAGGACAUCGUACACGGCCGCACUAACGAUACAAUGUGUACACAGUACGCCUACGUGGAAACUAGGAUAGACGGAAGUAGUACUUGUUCUUGACGCCUCGACGAGAACAUUUAGACUGGCCUAACAGAUGCAGUCUCUCCUGUAUGACCUCAAUCUCCGAGAUAUAUCUUUUAAGCUCGUCCUAUAAGCGGACCUAUUCCUUUGUUCACGAUUACAGAGCAUAUUCGUUCGACGCUAAAGACUAUAACCACAGAUAGUACCAGGUAGUCAACCCUGAUUGGUCCUGUAUUCGUUGUCACUUCGUUUGAACGAUCUUCGUUUACGACGACUGCCACCUUUCUCGAGAGGACGUUGAAGUUGCAACUGUAGAAAACGUGUAGCACUACCCAGAGACGGACGUCUUGGUUUCCAGGUACGUCGAGCUUGGCUGGUUUAAACCAGUUAAUGAUUCGACAGGCAUUUUUGUAGCAGUCACCUACCUUUACCACCGUUAAGUAGGACGUACCGACUACAAACGUUACUUUAAUCAAGGACGUUACGAAGUGGGUACCUUAUAUCACCGUUAAGACUAAGACUAAGACUUUAGAAGGCUCAGUUCGCGUCUAGGUCGUAUAAUCCUUCUGGACGAGGACUGUGUCUCUGUUGUUUGAAGAGACUUGUCUUCCAAGACUUCGCCGACUUCUUCCGUAGGGGUCUUUGUGUUGUACUGUUAUUCGCUGGACUUCUUAUGAGACGCGCAUGAAGUCAAGGGAGUCAAUCAUACUCCGUGUUAUUCAGUUUAAGACGGAGAAGACUCCUUCUAUCUCUCCUGUACCAAGGGUAACGGACCUCCUACUUCGACGCCGUCGACCUUCGAGUUGUUCCGCUGCGGUCAAUACGGCGCGUCGUCAGGUUCCACAUAGGUAGAUGGUCGUCGACAAGGGUCGUCGUCAGCUUCCACAUAGGUAGACGGUCGUCGACAAGGGUCGUCGUCAAGCGCCUCCGUUGAUUUCUGCGUCGGAGGAGUCUCCAGGCCGGUUUCGCCCACUUCUAGGCCAACGGAGCAUCGCGGUUGUCCGACCAGCUCGUCGUCGUCGUCGUCGUCGUCCCGUCAAGUCCGGUCUCUAAACGUCACCUACUGUUCGGUGGACCCAAAACCGUAUGCUAAAUCCCAUCGGCUGAGAGUCCACGAUUGUUGGAGCUGUCUAUCCUGAGUUAAGAGAACGUAAAACCAAUCGUGUCUACGACUGACUGACACAAAUCUUUCCUCUCCUCCUAUCCCGACUAACGAACCAAUUAGGUAAGAAACACGUCGUCCCGGAGGUUAAACUCCGGCCGGAUCCAUCCGUGUGCCAAUAAUCUUCUGUUCUGCUAACAAGUAGUGCAACAAAUCUCCGAAGGAGACUCAGUGGCGAACGACCGACGAGAAACUACGGACAUAACGGACACUGCCUUGACCCGGAGAGGUAAGACGUUCACAAAAGAAAACGAAUCGUCGACACAUGGAAUAGACGAAGACGCGCCCGUGAGGACGACGACCUCGGUGGAUAGAGAAAAGGGUUAAGACAGUGGAGUGCCACGGUAAUGACUGUGUACUAUCUCUAGAACUUUAAUGAUGGAACCGCUAUUGAAUGAUGAGACAUUUCUUUUUAUUCUCGCAUGUUUCCUCGUGAAUCACACGUCGUGUACUAA